UUUAUGCCAACUUUUUUGCGGCAAACGGUUUACGCAUUCAUUACAUUCAUGCCUUGUUUCUUAAGCUAAAUAUAACUGAAUUUAGUCUUGUUUCUUAAGCUAUAUAUAACUGUAUUUAGUCUUGUUUCUUCUAUAUAUACGGCUUCUGUUUCUUUUCAUGUAUGCAUUUGCCUAGUAUUAAAGUCAGUAACAAGAAAUUUAUGUGCUAUUUAACAUUUGCACCCAAAAAAAAAAGAAAAAAAUUUAUGUGCGCCAGUGGUUUAUAUGGUUGGCGUCUUCGGCCACUGUGUAGGCUCGAUUUUUUUAAUCCAAUAUUAAACCAAAUGUGCACAACCGCACAAGUAGGACACACAAGAAGCAAGUUGCCGUAUCAGUGCGUAAAUAAACGCAUGCUCCCUCC
rnacentral:lncRNA from 1 species